GAGCCUCCUCCUGGGCGGCGGUGGUGCGGCGGUCGCCGUUAUGGCCACUGGGCUGGGCGGCUGACCGCCGGGCUAGGAGAGGGCCCAGGGCCCCGAAUCUCGGUGGCCGCUGCUUGAGCGCGACCUGCGCCAUGGCCUUCUCCGCCGCCUCCUCGGAGCAUUUCGAGAAGCUGCACGAGAUCUUCCGCGGCCUCCAUGAAGACCUACAAGGGGUGCCCGAGCGGCUGCUAGGGACGGCGGAGACCGAAGAGAAGAAGAAAUUGAUCAGGGAUUUUGAUGAAAAGCAACAGGAAGCAAAUGAAACGCUGGCAGAGAUGGAGGAGGAGCUACGUUAUGCACCCCUGUCUUUCCGAAACCCCAUAAUGUCUAAGCUUCGAAACUACCGGAAGGACCUUGCUAAACUCCAUCGGGAGGUGAAAAGCACACCUUUGACAGCCACACCUGGAGGCCGAGGAGACAUGAAAUAUGGCAUAUAUGUUGUAGAGAAUGAGCAUAUGAAUCGGCUACAGUCUCAAAGGGCAAUGCUUCUGCAAGGCACUGGAAGCCUGAACCGGGCCACCCAAAGUAUUGAACGUUCUCAUCGGAUUGCCACAGAGACUGACCAGAUUGGCUCAGAAAUCAUAGAAGAGCUGGGGGAACAACGAGACCAGUUAGAACGCACCAAGAGUAGACUGGUAAACACAAGUGAAAGCUUGAGCAAAGGUCGAAAGAUUCUCCGUUCAAUGUCCAGAAAAGUGACGACCAACAAGCUGCUGCUUUCCAUUAUCAUCUUACUGGAGCUCGCCAUCCUGGGAGGCCUGGUUUACUACAGAUUCGUUCGCAGCCACUGAACUUCUAUAGGGAAGGGUUUGUGGACCAGAACUUUGACCUUGUGAAUCCAUGAUGUUAGGGAUGUGGAUAGAAUAAGCAUAUUGCUGCUGUGGGCUAACAGUUCAGGGAUGCACUGUAUAGCCAGACUGUGGGAGGAGGGAGGAAAGAUGGAAAACCACUUAAAUGUGAAGGAACAGCAACAAGACCAGUAUGAUAUGCCAAGGUAAUAAAUGCUGUUUAUGACUUCU